CUAGGACUCCUGGAGGGUAGGUUGGGAGACCCCCAGGUGAAUCCAGUCAGAUUUAUGCCACACAGAAGACUCGUAGGGAAGGUUUUUAUAUUUUCAAACUGGCCCAGCCAGAGGAAGGAGGGAUCUUUUGUUUGUUGCCAAGUUUUGAGGCCUUUUGAGGGGGUUGGCUUUUCUGUAAGGACUCUGAAGAGGGAGACUGUUUCCAACACAGAAUCUUGGGCGGGCCGGCACACUGAAGGGACAGAGGUUCAACAGCAAAAUAAUCCAGUCACAAUGACAGGCGAACCUUCAGAAAAGACGAAAAUCACUGACUGAAGUCCAGCUUCUGAAUUGCAAUUAAUGAACACGCCGUCGCCUUUCCAGGACCACUCACAGACUGCACAAAAGAAGCGUUUGCUGUGCAGAUAAGGAAGCUCUUUUCCAGUUGGUGCAGUUGAUAAUUAAGUGACCUUGUCAGAAAGUUUAGAUGUUUACCGAUGCAGUUGGGAAUAUUUGGUUUUUUUUAAAGAAAGAGUAAAGAUAAAAUUGCCUUCAAGCCUACUUUUGAUGUCAUCUAAAUUUAAAAACAAACGGCUAAAAAAAGACACCCAGGCCUUUAUUUUAAGGCACCAUUAAAAAUGUGGCUGGCUUGACAAAAGCUCGAAGUGUA